AUAUGUGCAUCUCUGAUCAUGAGCAGGAGUAGUGGGAGAGCAUCUUAGCUGUGUGUUGAAAGAGGAUCUUUGGGGUUUUAAUAAAUGUAUCAAAAACGAAGUUUGAAGGAAAUAUUAGCCAUUUUUCAUACGUUCUAGGGAUAAGCAAAUAAGAUAUAACAAUUUCUACGCAAGGAUAAAAAUUGUGUUUCACAAUUUUGGGCUAAACAC